GCCAUUCCACAAAAGCUUGCCCUAGGUUCACUCGUGUCUGGUCUCUUCUCUGGUCCAACUUCUUCUUAUUCUUCUUCUGUUCCACCGACAGUCGCCUCUUGGCUCCCUUAUCAGUCGAUUGAUCCAUGAUGAAUGCAACAAUUGCCUCGCACCUGGCUGUUUAUAUCUAGCCGGGGCCAUGUUUGGGGGUGUGUCUGUGCCGUAAAGCAUUUUCGAAACCACAAUCUGACUACAUUUUCGAGGCGCGAUUGGAUACUUCUGCUGCGUCACAUCCGGAUUGUGUCGGUCCGAACAGAGCAAGUUGCAUAUUCGCUUUUUCCUUGGAGAAGCGACAAGGGGCAAUGAAACACCCACCAAACGACCCAGAAAUUGUUGUAGAACAAUCAGAAUAACUCUGAACCUGCAUAAUUAAUGUAAUUUUGGCUAAAAAUGUUGCAUAGUGGGCCUUUAAGAAACAGAUUCCAUCCAACUAUUUACGAAAAAUGCAAUCAAUAAUUUAUAUACAAAUACAUGGUUACAUAUCGAUCAGCAACGAGGUUGGAGGUGCCUACCCACAUGAAUAUUUGUAAUAGGCCUACGCCAACAUUGUUAACUGUCAUACAACAAGCAAAUGAAAAAGUAAAUACUAACACAACUGAAAAGGUUUAUUAGGCUAUUAACAAUAUUAUAAAAAUGAUACCGUAAUGCAGCCGUUCUUUGUCUUUGGAUCUUUUGAAUAAAUGGAUCAAUAAAUGGUGAAUAGCAAUGAUCGCAAGCAGAGGAACGUGAGAGUCAUUGAGCAGCAGCUGAACCAGUCUAAAAAUCCCUUUAUCACUAAAAAACUUUUGGAGAUAAAAAGUCACCACAGUGCCUAAAAACCUUCAACGUCAUUCAUGUUAAGUAAAAGGAAAAACCUCGGUCACGAGAAGUUAACGGAGCCGUGCACUAGGCCCUCUCGAAUGCCGGGCCGAAACAACAUUUGUUUCACUACGACUCCUUUCAGCUGCCCACCCCUCCUUCUCCAGCAAAAAAUAAUAACAUAAAAAGGCUAAUAAAACGCUUGAGGUGGCGUUUUGAAAGACUCCAGGCUCCAGUCAGGGAAAGCUCCCAGUGGUCUGAGUCCCGAUCACCACCCCCUGAGGCUUCUUGCUACAUUCAAGACUUCCACUCCUGAUUGCUUGGUUUUCUACGCUUCUAGAGAACAUCUGUCUCUUGCUUUACGGACACAGCAGAUAAAUCAUAUCAUAAGAUGAGAUACGCUUUGUGCUGAAUGUAUAGCUCGUGUGUCUGGACCAGACACACGAGCUGGGGUAGCUCGCUAGCUAUGGAUCGUUGGCUGACUUUGAGGCUCUUGCUUAAGCUGGGGAAUGUCGAUGAUGAUGAUGAUAGACAUCACCUUGAUGAUGAUGAUGAUGAUGAUGAUGUUGAUGAUGUUGAUGAUGAUGGUGGUGGUUGUGGUGAUGAAGAUGUUUCCAUGAUGACCUACCGUAGUCUCCCCCAGAGUCCUGACUCCUUGUGGUGGAGGCGGCUCCUGCUGGACACGCACACACAGACACACACACACACACACACACACACACACACACACACACACACACACACACACACACACACACACACACACACACACACACACACACACACACACACACACAAAAACAA